UACGGAGGAUGCAAGCGUUAUCCGGAAUUAUUGGGCGUAAAGCGUCCGCAGGUGGCACUUCAAGUCUGUCGUCAAAGACUGGGGCUUAACCCCGGAAAGGCGGUGGAAACUGAAGCGCUAGAGUGCGGUAGGGGUAGAGGGAAUUCCCGGUGUAGCGGUGAAAUGCGUAGAGAUCGGGAAGAACAUCGGUGGCGAAAGCGCUCCACUGGACCGCAACUGACACUCAGGGACGAAAGCUAGGGGAGCGAAUGGG
rnacentral:rRNA from 1 species